rnacentral:lncRNA from 1 species
GCAUUCCCUGAUUUCCUGCACUGGCUUCACCUUGUCGAGAAGUUCCAUAGUAUUGUUGAGCCCCUGGAGACUGUAGUCGACUCUCAGGAGAUGAAACAGGUACCAUUUGGCCCUUGAAAGAUAAGAAAAAACAAAAAUAUCAACCCUAAAUAUAGGCUCCAACAUGUUUUUAUUUCACAAAAUUAGAGCUAAAUAGCUAAAGCCAAGUAAGAUUAUAGACCAAGCAGCAUGACAGAGCUUUCCAAGAUGCAUAUAGAAUAGACUCAUUUGUGACUGAACUUAAUUCUUUUCUUUGAGCAAAUCAUUAUUACCUAGUUUGAACAUUUGUCUCCCAGGAAACAUCAACAUGGCAAUAGUAAUUCAAGUAGCAACAUAAUGCAAGUAUAGACAGGCCAUAUAAACAGAGUCAUGAGAUAAAACGAAAGGAUCAAAGGUUAGACUUGCAGAAAUCCAAAUAAAGGGAAAAGGAUAAGUUAAAAGUUGAGACAUGAAACUGAUGUAUUUCUUAUGUUUUUCCCCUGUUGGUCUAGGAAAUAAACAGAUAAACACAUCAUGACUAAGAGAAAAUUCAUUAUAUUGUGUUACUAUGAAAUGAGAUGAUCUUACAGGAUAUGAGUUCCAGUUUGGUACUUGAACAAGACCCUGUGGUACAAUCAUCGGUGUAUAGUUUGAAGGACUUUGCCAUCUAGGGCUUGGAAUGAAAGAACC